CACGUAGGGCGCAAGCGUUGUCCGGAAUUUAUUGGGCGUAAAGAGCUCGUAGGUGGUUUGCUGCGUCCGCUGUGAAAACCCAAGGCUUAACCUUGGGCUUGCAGUGGAUACGGGCAGACUAGAGUGCGGUAGGGGGUGACUGGAAUUCCUGGUGUAGCGGUGGAAUGCGCAGAUAUCAGGAGGAACACCGAUGGCGAAGGCAGGUCACUGGGCCGCAACUGACGCUGAGGAGCGAAAGCAUGGGGGAGCGAACAGG
rnacentral:rRNA from 1 species